UCGGCUAUCAUCGCGAGGCCGCGAUUUCGAUACGAAGCGGCCUGACGCGAGGACGAACGGAAGCGAAAGAAAACGCACCCCGACCAACGAUUUCGCGUUUCAAAGUCGAGCGAAAUCGUUUGUACGGUUGUUUUGUUGAUCGUUGUCUGUAUAGCGGCGCGUAUCCUUUCGCGUUCGGUCGCGUUUGCCUCUUGUUGUUCGAUCGUUUGUUUCACCGAAGACGGCAAAGGAUAGAGAUCACGGAUCGUUGUAUCGUACGGACACCGUGUCUAAACGUACGCGAUUUUAUUGGUGCAACGAAUCGGCGUUGUUUUCCGGCUCGACACGCCGCGCUACGACAAACUGCGACAGGAUACGCGAGGCGUUGCGUUCAAUCGCCGUUUUGUAAAUAGAGAGAAACGAUGUGUGCGAAGAAACGAUAGAACAAAGUGUCUUGCUAACACGACGCUAAAGGGAAACGGACGGAAUCGAAGAGCGUGACACGCGACGAAGAUUAUUCUUCGGAGAAAAUCGCAGACUAACCCGCGUCUCGACCGUUUCCGCCAGCCAUCGCAUCGAUUCCGAAUUUCGGCGACUGUCACUCGUUAGCGUGAUCGAGCUCUUCGAUUUCCGGCUGGUUUUCAGCGAUAUGCGUGAAAUUUUAUGCCAAGGACACAAGGAUGCGCGCGUGAAAAGUGCAACAGAGAGCGUGAAAGAGCGUGUGUGUGUGUGUGUGUGUGUGUGUGUGCGUGUGUGUAAAGGAGAGAAAGAGAACGAGUGGCAGAAGUACGAGAGAAGAGGAAAGAAAGGUAGAGAGGCCGACGACGAAAAGCAUGUAAAGAUCGUACGCAAAUCACGCGUAAUACGCAUAGGAUGAAUCGAAUCGAAACGAAACGUAAAAACGAUCACGAAUGCGCGCAAACUGUAAACAGCUCCUCCUUCUCCCUGUAUAUUAUUAUAAUUAAACAUUAAUUAUUAUUAACGUAAAAUAAAGAUCUGGCGAAUGGUGGUGACGUUUUGUUAGAAUGGCAGAAACUAAAUUACUACUGAAUUUUAAUUAAUAAACAACAUGAAAGUAAUACAACAACGUA